UACGUAGGAUCAAAGCGUUGUCCGGAUUUACUGGGUGUAAAGGGUGCGCAGGCGGACUUGUUAGUCAGAGGUGAAAUCUCACUGCUCAACAGUGAAACUGCCUUUGAUACUGCAGGUCUUGAAUCCAGAAGAGAGUUGUGGAAUUCCGAGUGUAGCAGUGAAAUGUGUAGAUAUUCGGAAGAACACCAGCGGCGAAGGCAGCAACUUGGUCUGGUAUUGACGCUCAGGCACGAAAGCAUGGGGAUCAAACAGG
rnacentral:rRNA from 1 species